CUUCACUAAAUUACAAGAAAUUUGAAUAACAGCAACAAAAUGGCACAUAAAAUGUAAAAUCUGCCACUUGAGGCGCAACUUAAACAAGUAAAAAGUUAGACAAAAUGUUACAAAAUAACCUUUUCGACAGCUGGUUGCUCAUGCCAGGGGUCUCUCCAAUGGACUGUAGACUCAAGCGAUCCUUUCCCCCCAAAGGCGUCCUUUAUGUAGAUUCUCAUUUAUCUGAUGCAUCAUUUUCCUAGGAGGACACAGCUCCUUCCUCUUCCGGAGACUUGGGAGGGCUCUUAGACCUGGAUCUGGAGUUGGAUUCCCUCUUUGAAGUUGGUGGAGGGCUCCUAGAUCUGGACCGAGAUCUCGACCUGGACCGAGAUCUGGAGACAGACGAGGACUUUGACUUGGAUCUCCUGGCAGAUCUGGACUUCGAGGUGGAGCGCGAGCGGGAGCGUGUGCGAGAGCGGGACUUGGAGCGGCUGUAGCGAGAUCGGCUGCGGGACCGAGAGCGGCUCCUGCUUCUCGAUCGGCUGCGGCGGCGUCUCCUAGGGCUGCGGCUGCGGCGGCCGUAACCGCUGCUCCCGUAGCGGCGGGGCGGAGGGCCGCGGCGGCUGUGGUGCGAGUCCGGGGGGCGGCCGUAGCGGGCCAUCUGCACGCGGAGCUCGCGGCCAUCCAGCACGGCCCCGUCCAUGGCGUCCAUCGCGUCCUCGGCGUCGCGUUUGUCGUGGAAACGGACGAAUGCGAACCCGCGGCUCUCCUUGGUGUAGCGGUCCCGGGGGAUGUAGACGUCGCCCACGCGGCCGUACUUCUCGAAAACCCUCCGGAGAGUGUCCGGGGACGUCCGGUAGGUCAGGUUGUCCACCUUGAGGGACGUCAUGCCCUCCACGUCUGGCGGAGGGCGCCCGUAGCUCAUGGCGGG
rnacentral:lncRNA from 1 species